ACACAUGCAAGUCGAGNGGGCAUCAGUUUGGUUUGCUUGCAAACCAAAGCUGGCGACCGGCGCACGGGUGAGUAACACGUAUCCAACCUGCCUCAUACUCGGGGAUAGCCUUUCGAAAGAAAGAUUAAUAUCCGAUAGCAUAUAUUUCCCGCAUGGGUUUUAUAUUAAAGAAAUUCGGUAUGAGAUGGGGAUGCGUUCCAUUAGUUUGUUGGCGGGGUAACGGCCCACCAAGACUACGAUGGAUAGGGGUUCUGAGAGGAAGGUCCCCCACAUUGGAACUGAGACACGGUCCAAACUCCUACGGGAGGCAGCAGUGAGGAAUAUUGGUCAAUGGACGCGAGUCUGAACCAGCCAAGUAGCGUGAAGGAUGACUGCCCUAUGGGUUGUAAACUUCUUUUAUAUGGGAAUAAAGUGGUCCACGUGUGGAUUUUUGUAUGUACCAUAUGAAUAAGGAUCGGCUAACUCCGUGCCAGCAGCCGCGGUAAUACGGAGGAUCCGAGCGUUAUCCGGAUUUAUUGGGUUUAAAGGGAGCGUAGGCGGAUUGUUAAGUCAGUUGUGAAAGUUUGCGGCUCAACCGUAAAAUUGCAGUUGAUACUGGCAGUCUUGAGUGCAGUAGAGGUGG
rnacentral:rRNA from 1 species